UUAAAUUGAAGAGUUUGAUCAUGGCUCAGAUUGAACGCUGGCGGCAGGCCUAACACAUGCAAGUCGAACGGUAACAGGAAGAAGCUUGCUUUUU
rnacentral:rRNA from 1 species